UACGUAGGGGGCUAGCGUUGUCCGGAAUCAUUGGGCGUAAAGCGCGUGUAGGCGGUCCGGUAAGUCCGCUGUGAAAGUCGAGGGCUCAACCCUGGAAGGCCGGUGGAAACUGUCGGGCUAGAGUCCGGAAGAGGCGAGUGGAAUUCCCGGUGUAGCGGUGAAAUGCGCAGAUAUCGGGAGGAACACCAAUGGCGAAGGCAGCUCGCUGGGACGGUACUGACGCUGAGACGCGAAAGCGUGGGGAGCAAACAGGG
rnacentral:rRNA from 1 species